GACGAACGCUGGCGGCGUGCUUAACACAUGCAAGUCGAGCGGAAAGGCCCUUCGGGGUACUCGAGCGGCGAACGGGUGAGUAACACGUGAGUAAUCUGCCCUGUGCUUCGGGAUAGCCACCGGAAACGGUGAUUAAUACCGGAUAUGACAUGCCUCUGCAUGGGGGUGUGUGGAAAGUUUUUUCGGCGCAGGAUGUGCUCGCGGCCUAUCAGCUUGUUGGUGGGGUAAUGGCCUACCAAGGCUUCGACGGGUAGCCGGCCUGAGAGGGUGACCGGCAACACUGGGACUGAGACACGGCCCAGACUCCUACGGGAGGCAGCAGUGGGGAAUAUUGGACAAUGGGCGGAAGCCUGAUCCAGCAACGCCGCGUGAGGGAUGACGGCCUUCGGGUUGUAAACCUCUUUCAGCACCGACGAAGCGAGAGUGACGGUAGGUGCAGAAGAAGCCCCGGCUAAAUACGUGCCAGCCGCCGCGGUAAGAC
rnacentral:rRNA from 1 species